UUAGUAUGAAAAAAUGGAGGAGUUUUUUCUUAAGAUGAGACAGGAAAUGCAGCAGAUAAGCAGGUAAGUGACUUGUCAUCAACUGUACACUUAAAAAUAUAUGUUUGGAUAACAGUACUUCGCUGCACUUUACAGGAAGGUCUCAGAGCAAGCAGCAUAUAUCUCCAAGCUGGAGGACACAAUUCGCUGUGAAAGGGCUGAGAAUAUUGACAGCAGGACUCAGUACCAAAAGCAGGACAUUUCAGGAAGCAUCUCAAGACUUUCUCUCAGCAGUCCUUUUCAAGACCGGAGAAUACAUCAGCCUGCUUUGUCUGAAUACUUGACUAUGACAGGCACAAUAGUAAACAGAACAAACCAAUCCUCUGCAGGCCCCACAGCACAACCCUUAACUGCAAGGUA
rnacentral:lncRNA from 1 species